CAAGAUACCUGGCCACAUGCGCAGUAACUUCAAUUCAUCUCUCUAUUUUCUCUCACUAAACCCCCAAAUUCCUCUAUAUAAACCCCAAGGCUCAGCUGGCAUAAUUUCGUUUCACAUAUUUGGACUCAGCGUUGUUCCGAGUCGUCUCUCUCAUCUCCGUUCUAGGAUUGGUAUUGAACACCAGAUGUCUUUUGAUUCUUGCAAGAAACAUCAGUGGUUUGCGUGGGGUGCUUUCUGCUUCAUGAACCGGCGGAGGAUUUGGUGCUUCCAAAAGUUGUUGUUUCGGCAUUGGAAUUGACAAUAGUGGUUUAUUGUUUGAGGGUUUCUGGCUUACAUACAUGUUCUUUGUCUACUUUUCGGUACAGACUGCUUUUUAUUCUUAGGGAGAAGUGUUCGGUGUGGAUAGAGUAAGGUUUACGAAUAUAUUAAAGUUCUUCUUCAGUAUUGUUCAACAACUGGGAAUUCUGUGGUCAAUUGUCAUUCUACGAUGGGUCGGAUCUCACUUCCUCCAGGAUUUCGGUUUCAUCCAACUGAUGUUGAGCUAGUUAUGUACUAUCUUAAGCGGAAGGUUAUGGGAAAGAAGCUUCAUUUUGAAGCUAUCACAGAGGUCAACAUUUAUAAGUUCUCUCCAUGGGAACUACCGGAUAAAUCUUGCUUGAAAAGUAAGGAUCUAGAGUGGUUCUUCUUUUGCCCAAAAGAGAAGAGGUAUGCAAGCGGGGUUAGAGUGAAGCGCAGUACUGAAAAUGGAUACUGGAAAACCACAGGGAAAGAUAGACCUGUUUUUCACAAUAAUAACAUUGUGGGAAUGGUGAAAACCUUGAUUUUUCACCUUGGUCAUGCACCCCAAGGGCAAAGAACUGAUUGGGUCAUCCAUGAGUUCAGAAUCCUAGACAAGCAGUUGGCUGAAGUAGGAAUUCAGGACUCUUACGUGCUCUGUAAAGUCUUUGAGAAGAAGGGUCCAGGCCCAAAAAAUGGAGCACAGUAUGGAGCACCAUUUAAUGAAGCAGAAUGGGACAAUGAUGAUGAAACACUGAUAUGCUCUGGAUAUUUCCCGUCUCAUGAUCCAUCCGUUUCUGCAUCAACUUUACCUCAAAAUUGCAGUUCUUCUGUUAAAACAAGCAUGGUCGUUCCUGGAAGUACGUUGGAAUCAUCUUUGAUUGAAGCGGGUCCAUCUUCUGUCAGGCCUUCUGCUAGCGACUUGGUUCUGAAUGAGUCAGAUGAUGAUAUUGUUCAUUUGCUGGCCCCAUUUACAGCUCACAGCAUGUUGAAUUUUAGCGAGAAAAGAAAUCGUGAGUAUCAUGAUAAUGACGAGGAGAACAAUACAUCCUUACUGGGGACCAGUGGAAAUGAUAUAUACAAUGGAUUGCAUGACCUGGAUUAUUGGGCUCAGAUGACUGAAGGUGAAUUUGAUACCAUUGGCAUGCAGGAAGAUGGCCAUCUUAUGAACCAAAUGCCUCUACAAAAUGAUGUAGCAUAUAUAGAGCUGAAUGAUCUUAUAGCUCCACUGGAUUUCUGUCCUGAUGUUAAUGCAACUGAAGAAAUAUCGAUGGGGAACUUAUUUGUGCCAUACUGCCCUGGUAAUAUGGAUUAUGUCGGCUUUAGAGGCGGUUUUUCUGGUAUAAAUCCGUAUGCUUCUGGUCUGAAUCAGCAUCCUGUGAUGCCUGCAGGAUCUAACAGACAAGAGGGUUGUUUGGAUGUGCUUCAGACGGUGAACAGCGAUGAGGUUAAUGCAAACCUGGGAAAUAAUUCUGCACAAGUCUUAGAUUUCACUUUUACCCAACCAACAGAGGUUGGGGAUUUCCCAAAAUCCCUGAAAAGAGGUAGACUUGACGAUAUCUGAUGACAUUUCUGGUCGUUGGGACAAACGUUCACAUUCUACUUAUUGUUUCUUCAGUCAAAUGAAUACGAGGGAGAAUUGUGAAAAAUUCGAGCCCAUGUGUAACGUGCAUUGUCUGAAAUUGGGGUAUCCUGUUUAGAAUAUAGCACACCUUUCAGAAAUGGUGUGCAAUAAGGCAUGGAUUUACUGACGUUUUGUUGUACCCAAGUCUAGUUGAGUCUGUAUUUUUGGUGGUCAUUUCACAUGUAGUUCACGAUACCGUGUAGAUUGCAGCAUCUCUGAUGAGGUUGCAUUAACCUCUUACUUAGAGACAAUUGGUGCUAAGGAAAAAAGAAGAUAAUAUUAUCUUUACACACUAACAUUAUUCAAGUCCAUCCCCACUCAUCCAGCAUGCCUUUUCAAUUCUCCGUUUGGUGGCUCUAUACAAGUCAAGGAUUACCUGCGCUGAGGAUGCUUUGUUAAUUAUGUUACAUGAUUCAACUUAUCUUGCUGUUGGCAGAACCUGCUUACACCAUACCUAAAGCAGCAGAGGCAGCCUGUGGCACAUUUGGGAAGAGAGAUGCAAUUGUUGAGUCGUCAAUGUUGAACUACAUCGUCUAAAUGUUUAUCAUGUGAUAUUUUAAUUCAAUGCACUUGAUAUCACUGUGAAUCAUCUCAUCUAAAAGUUUAAGUUAUUAUAUGCUAAAGAUGUCUAUUCUAUCUGUCCUAAA